UACGUAGGGGGCAAGCGUUGUCUGGAUUUACUGGGCGUAAAGAGCGUGUAGGCGGCCAAACAGGUCCGUUGUGAAAACUGGAGGCUCAACCUCCAGACGUCGACGGAAACCGUGUGGCUAGAGUCCGGAAGAGGAGAGUGGAAUUCCUGGUGUAGCGGUGAAAUGCGCAGAUAUCAGGAAGAACACCAAUGGCGAAGGCAGCUCUCUGGGACGGUACUGACGCUGAGACGCGAAAGCGUGGGGAGCGAACAGG
rnacentral:rRNA from 1 species